rnacentral:rRNA from 1 species
GGAAUAUUGGGCAAUGGAGGGAACUCUGACCCAGCGACGCCGCGUGCGGGAUGAAGGCCUUCGGGUUGUAAACCGCUUUCAGCAAGGAAGAAGCGAAAGUGACGGUACUUGCAGAAGAAGCACCGGCUAACUAUGUGCCAGCAGCCGCGGUAAUACAUAGGGUGCAAGCGUUGCCCGGAAUUAUUGGGCGUAAAGAGCUCGUAGGUGGUUCGUCACGUCGGAUGUGAAAAUCUGGGGCUUAACCCCAGACCUGCAUUCGAUACGGGCGAGCUAGAGUGUGGUAGGGGAGACUGGAAUUCCUGGUGUAGCGGUGGAAUGCGCAGAUAUCAGGAGGAACACCAAUGGCGAAGGCAGGUCUCUGGGCCAUUACUGACACUGAGGAGCGAAAGCGUGGGGAGCGAACAGGAUUAGAUACCCUGGUAGUCCACGCCGUAAACGGUGGGCACUAGUUGUGGGAACCUUCCACGGUUUCUGCGACGCAGCUAACGCAUUAAGUGCCCCGCCUGGGGAGUACGAUCGCAAGAUUAAAACUCAAAGGAAUUGACGG